CACAAAGCAAACAUGCAAAAAGUUUACAGAAAUUCAAUGGCCCAAACUAAACAAGUCUCCACUCAAAGUCACGACAGUGAUGAAGAUUAUGAGAACCCUGAUCCUUGUGACCCGGCACCAACAACAGGAAUGAAGAAUUCUAUCAAUGAUGACUUACUUUUAAAAUUCUCCGCUCUAAGUCAAAAAGGCAAUGAUCAUGAUGAAGAUUAUGAGAACGCGGAUGCUUGUGA